UAAGGAAUAUUGGACAAUGGAGGCAACUCUGAUCCAGCCAUCCCGCGUGCAGGAUGACGGCGCUACGCGUUGUAAACUGCUUUUAGAAGGGAAGAAGCGCCUAUAUGGAUAUGGGUUUGACGGUACCUUCAGAAUAAGCACCGGCUAAUUCCGUGCCAGCAGCCGCGGUAAUACGGAAGGUGCAAGCGUUAUCCGGAAUCACUGGGUUUAAAGGGUGCGUAGGCGGGUUGAUAAGUCAGAGGUGAAAGGUAACGGCUCAACCGUUAAAUUGCCUUUGAUACUGUUGAUCUUGAGAUAAGUUGAGGUAGGCGGAAUGUGACAUGUAGCGGUGAAAUGCAUAGAUAUGUCAUAGAACACCGAUUGCGAAGGCAGCUUGCUGGACUUUAUCUGACGCUGAGGCACGAAAGCGUGGGGAGCGAACAGGAUUAGAUACCCCCGUAGUCC
rnacentral:rRNA from 1 species